rnacentral:rRNA from 1 species
UGGGGAAUAUUGCACAAUGGGCGAAAGCCUGAUGCAGCAACGCCGCGUGAGUGAUGAAGGCCUUCGGGUUGUAAAGCUCUGUCUUCUGGGACGAUAAUGACGGUACCAGAGGAGGAAGCCACGGCUAACUACGUGCCAGCAGCCGCGGUAAUACGUAGGUGGCAAGCGUUGUCCGGAUUUACUGGGCGUAAAGGAUGCGUAGGCGGAUACUUAAGUCAGAUGUGAAAAUCCCGGGCUUAACUUGGGAACUGCAUUUGAAACUGGGUAUCUAGAGUGCGGGAGAGGAAAGUGGAAUUCCUAGUGGAGCGGUGAAAUGCGUAGAGAUUAGGAAGAACACCAGUGGCGAAGGCGACUUUCUGGACCGUAACUGACGCUGAGGCAUGAAAGCGUGGGGAGCAAACA